AUGCAUAUUUCGACCCAAUUUCAGGCUCGUUUCUAUUAUUCUCUAUGAGGUAGCCACAUUCCUUUUAUGUCCGUAUUUGAUGUUCAAAUUAAAUUAGUGAGCAAGGGAGGUGGUAUCCAUUUUCCAUUAUAAAUAGACACAAAUUUUCCCACAAAAAGGGACGACGAUCCCAAGUAUCAUAAACGAACAAAAAAGAGUACCUAAGUGAUUUUCUAUACAUUAGAAUCCAAUCCCCAACUCCCAAAAUUUCUGAAAUUGUCUCACAAUCACACUAAACACCAAAAGAAUACCUACACAAUCUCAAAGAGAAUCUCACUUCCGUCGUCACCCACCUAAAAGCCACCGAAGGAGGAAGCUAGGACAUCCUGAAAGAUAAGAAACGAGGAGACGUCAUGAUCUCCUGAAAAUAAGGAAAGUCUUGUAUUAGUGGUAUGUUGUUCAAAAACUUAUCCUAUUUUAUUCAUUCUUAAACCAUUAAUUUGUUUUUUCUUUCACAUGGUUAAGAUAUUGAGUUAAGAGACCCUUUAUAUCAUUACUUACAAGAUGAGAUUAAAACUAAUGAACUCCGGUGACCAAACACUAAAAAAGACUAGUUUAAGUAAUCAUAACAAUGAGUUUACCAGUAAAAUAAACAUCUUCAUAAAUUUAAUAAGGCUAAAAAGUUGCUAAAAAGGAUAAAAUUUGACAAAAUAAUUUACUUAAGUAAACAAAAACUCACAAAUAAAAUGAAAUUUCUUCACAUAAGAUAGAUUGGUAAAAGCAUGAUAUAAGGACAUAAAAAUGACCAUCUAUCACCAUUUACAUAAAAAACUUAAGACCUACAAAACUACUUAUAAAAAUAACCAUCUAUUACCAUUUACACUAAGAACUCCAGAACUACAAAACUACCAAUAAAAUGAAACACCUUCAUUUAAGAUAGAUUUGGUUGUCGGAAUUGUCAUAAAAUUGAUAAAAUGAUCAAAGUUUUCAAACAAAAAAUCGUUUUCAUAAACACUUAGAUUACCGGUUUAGUUUCAAUAGACCAAAUAGUCAAGUUUUCAAACACUUAUAGCAACCUAAUCAACGACAAAACUAUAACCAUCUACCGAGCAAAACCAGAAAAGGUAGAGCUGAAGUGUCUUACCUUCCUGAGGCUGCCAUCCCUUUUCUCUGUUCUUGCUCUUUUGGCCGAUCUCCUCUAGUAAAUUAAAUCGAAAUCUCCUUCUCUUCGUUCACUUCAAAUACGCAAAAAAAAUCGGUCACUUUCCUUUAUGUUUUUCCAAAAUUAAUUAAUUAAGAGUUAAAACAGAGUUUUACCUCCACUCGGCCGUCCUUCUGUCCUUUUCAUCUCCAGUCGGCGGGUCUGCCAUCAGCGAUGAACCCUUUGUUUUCUUUUCUAUUUUCUCUGCUUCUUCUUUCUCUCCACCGAAUCCCAGCCACGAAGAAAAAGAAACAAGAGAGCAAGUCAGAAAGAUAUAAAAAAACAACUCAAUCAAACUGUAGAUCUACUAAUCUGGACUUGCAUGUCACUGAAAACUUGUGGGAGCAUCCUCCGAUAACAUACAAACUCGGAUCUGGAUGAAAUCAGAAGAAACAUAGGUAGAAAGGGGGUUUCAUUUUUUUACCUUUUUUUCUUUUCUUUCGUUGGUACCGUUAUAAGGAAGGAAGAGAAGCGACGGCAACGAUACCACCGCUGUGAUGAGAGAGAUUGAGGGAGAGACUACGGCCGCCGUCGAUGUGUGAGAGAAGAGACAGGGACGAAAAAAAAGAGGAGAAAAGAAGAGAAAACAGAGAAAAAAGGAAAAGGAAGAGAAAGAGAGAGAAAAAAGUAGAGAGAAAAGGUAGAAAAAGAGAGGAGUGCCGCUGUCAUCGCGGGUGCUGUGAGCGGGAGAGGAAAAGGGAAGAAGGAGGAGAAAAAGAAAAAAGAGAGAAAAAAAAAGAGCAAAACAGAGGAGAAAAGAAAAAAAAAGGGGAGCGACAGCAACGCCGCUGUCGGAGACAGAGAGGGAAAAGAAGGAUAAAGAAGGAGAAAUAAGGAGGAGGAGGAGGAAAAAAUAGAAGGAGAGGAUGAAAAAAAAGAAAAAAAAAGUAGGAGGAAGAAGAAGAAGAAUGAGGUGGAAAAGUGUAGAGAGAAGGGAGAGAAUUUAGGAUAAAAAGAGAGAGGCCUAGGGUUUAAAUGGCUGAUUUCGGUUUAAGAUGGCUAUUUAUAUCGGUUAAAGUUACGAUUUUUCCCUCACCUUCCUUCUUGACAGACAAAAUAUAUAAGGGUGUUUUCAUCUUUUCAAUUCACUUAGCGAUUUUGUCCUUCCUCCCUUCUUAUUUCAGUCCAACUUUUAGUUGGGCCCAAUUCAGUCAGAAGCCCCUUAGUGUGUCGUUCAGAUUAGAUUUUAUUAAGUUUAGAUUAAAACUAGGAUAAAAUCAAAAUAGGUGUAGAUUAAUAACAAAAUAAAAGUUUCUUUGUUUCUACUUGGUAUUUGUAAGUUAAGGUUGUAAACUAAAAAAAUAGAACCUCUCGAUUAUUUGAAUCGGCG
rnacentral:lncRNA from 1 species